CUACUACAUCAAUCAGACCACAAGGUGCCCUUUCAGGAAAGUAAUGGAGUAUAAUCAACCUAACUUCAUUGAUCUACAAGGACUACUGAAAAUUAUAAAACUUUCUUUGGGAUUCUAACAUGCCAGAAACCACUAGAAAAAGAAGUUUGAUAUCUCAGAGGUUCUCCUCAUCGUGGUAUAGAGACCAAAAUGAUACUUUCAAAAAGCCUGACAGGUUUCUCCGGAAAAGUGACCAUCCAUGGAAUGAAUGAAAUGUUCCCUUUCUAUUCCAGGUACAGACAGGCAUGCAGAAGUAACUAGACGUCCAACACAUGCCAAGGUCUUGCGGGCCCAGGAUUUCGAACAAAAGAAAACUCGGUAACGUGACUGUAAAUCAAGGGCAUUUGAGACCAUAGACGCGCGCACCACUGCAAGGGUUAAUUGGAGGAGAGGGAAGAGAGAGGCUCCACCUUGCAGUCUGUGUGAACUUCGGCCAGAAAAAGAGCUGGAGCUCCAGCCGCCGCCGGUGGGAGCCCUGCAGUCCGCGGCACGCGGUCCCUUGUUGUGGGGCAGGUGUGGCGCCGGGUAGAGGCGGGGCGCAACCUGGAAACUGCCGCCUGAGCUGUGGCCCGCGCCCUGCCUACCCUUUGGCGCAUCUGUUUCUUUAUUGCCUGAAAGCCAUCCGACGCGUUGAAGGCGCGAUUAUCGACAAUUUGUCAGCCCGAUUUUGUCGCUUGCAAUAACUUUUGGUGAAGUUUCACUCUCAGGCCCUUGAGUUUCGGGAUGAGGAAAUGUGGUAUGAGAGCAUUGUCCUGUGUUUGGCUUCUCAUUUCCACAGGACCCAGGCAGGCAGAAGAAGGGAAAAGAAAGUUAAUCCGACUGCAGUCACUCUGGCACACAAGCCAUGGGGAAACGGGAGAGAAACUUGUUCCUUCUCCUACAAAACUCUCCCCUUCCCCCUCAAGCCCCUCCCCCCACCAGGUCCUUUUUAAUAGAUCAGUCCCUCAUCUCCCCCCCCCUCCACACACGUAUUCUUGGGCCCACAAUUCUCUUGAGCAACCUAGGACUGAGUUUUUGUGUUUUGUUUGUUUUGCUUGCUUUUUCCUUUGUGUUUGUGGAUGUGGAUUGUUUCUCAGGGACCAGGGGCCAGGACCGCAGCUCUAAACCUGAACCGUUCACCUUCAUGAUCCCUUUCUUCCCCUCUUCUUGAUUGGUGGCUGUCGUGGCCAAGACCAUGCCCUUUCCUGAGCAUGGAGCAGUGGGGCAGCUGCUCUGAAGCAGCUGCUGUGCCUUACCCCUCUUUUCUCAAUCAUUAAAAUUCAAUUUCAAAAUUUCUGUCUUUAACAAUUUCCUAAGGAGACUAUGAAGAAUGCCAAAAGAGUGGGCCUUUUUUCAAGUGGUCAUGUUUCAGCAAAAGGCAGGCACAGUCCAAGUUGCCCUAGGUUGUGCCCUUAUAGGAGCAGGGCAGUGGAUGUUGUGUAAAAUGGAGUGCUGUGCCCACCUUGAACGAGAGACGAGCUCUGGCAGGUCAAGAACCUGGGGAGAGCAACUCCAGCUUUUCCAUCCACAUCACCCCUGCAGCUUGAUGGAGCACAGCACCAAGCAGGAAGUUCUCAUUUUUUUUUUUUUUUUAAUGUCCACACCCAUGACAUACAGAAGUUUCUGGCCCAGGGAUUGAAUCUAAGUUUCAGCUAUGACCUAUGUGGCAGCUAUAGCAAUGCCAGAUCCCUUAACCCGCUGCACCAAGCUGGGGAUCAAACCCUCACCUCUGCAGCAACCCAAGCUGCUGCAGUUAGAUUUUUAACCCACUGCACCACAGCUGGAACUCUGGGGAAGUUCUCUUUAAUAGUUCCUCACUUUCUUCCUUGAUCCAAAAAGAAAAAUAUUUGUAUUCGGAAAGUUCUCUUCUGCUAAGAAGUUUCUAUUAACAUCUCUUUCUCCUUUCAGUGAAGUCUGUUUCUGGGUCAAGGGGAGUGUUUUAAGAAACAGAAAAAUAGAGACACACACAUAACUGCAAUAGGUAGCUGAACUUCAUCAGGAGCCUUGAGUAGCCAAGAAAACAUUCUUCUGAUGCAACUUCAGAGUUUCAUCCCCUGCUCCAAAAUUUAUCAUGUAAUUAGUACCCAAAAUGCCUCCUUUAACCAACACCCAUUGCAACCUAUGGAAAAGAUGUAGCAUUUUUUUUUUGAAAUUCUAGAUGGACCUAAGGAUUACCUGACUCCUAUUGCCAUCACCUCUUAAUCACACAAAACUGUUUUCCUAAACACCAACCUUUUUCCCUAUAAAAACCACUGACCCCUCAGUAUACCUAGUACCUUUUUUCCUCCCUUUAAAUUAUUAUUCCUUACUCUUUUCCGUUCUGGGGCCCUGAGCCAGAUUCUCAGAAUUAAUCCUGAGUUCUCCCAAAUGCCAUGACAAGUUAGAAGGGAAAUUGGGGGACUGCACUGAAAAUACAUGGUAUAGAGAGUAAAUGUUACAGCUGUUGACAAGUGGCAGUUUGGGGUAUCAGCAAUGAAUUCCACAUUUUUCUAUAGGCUUCUUUUUACUUCACUUUAGGAUCCACUGAUCCUAAUAGAAACAAGUUAAAACUGCAGUUCCCUUCGUGGCGCAGUGGUUAACGAAUCCGACUAGUAACCAUGAGGUUGUGGGUUUGAUCCCUGGCCUUGCUCAGUGGGUUAAGGAUCCGGCGUUGCUGUGAGCUGUGGUGUAGGCCGGUGGCUGCAGCUCCGAUUAGACCCCUAGCUUGGGAAUCUCCAUAUGCCCCUGGAGCAGCCAUAGAAAAGGCAAAAAGACCAAAAAAAAAAAAAAAAAAAAAAAAAAAA
rnacentral:lncRNA from 1 species